rnacentral:lncRNA from 1 species
UCGACGGAUUUAUUGGCCGGAGAUGGUCUGGAUGAUGGUGUUGUGCCAUGGGUCGGCCAGGUGCUGCUGCAGGUUCUCGAACGGCCCCUUCCCGGUCACGUUGUGCUGCACCAGGAACCCCAGGAACGCCAGCAUGGCCAGUCUCCCUGAACGAAUGAACGCGCGCGCGAAUACAGAUUAACGAGAGCCGUCGGAUUAGAAACCCGAGGGUUCAGAUGAGACUGAAGAGAGGAUGGACGUACCGUUGGCGAGCUCCUUCUCCUUGUUCUCGAGGGUGGGGGCGAAGUUGAGGGGGUUGAAGACGCUGCCGGGGUAGCCGCACUCGUGGGGCGGGAGGCUGUAGCUCUUGAAGAUGGGGUCCUGGUUGACGGAGCCCGGGUUCUUGAUGUCCUGCCACCGCCGGAUCUCGACGUAGUGGAAGAGGAUGAACUCGAUGACGAAGAGCGUGGAGGAGGAGGCGAAGUAGGUCUCCUUGCCGGCGUCGUACCACUCGGGCGCGUUCAGCAGCCCCGCCUUGGUCAGCACCUCCGGGAUCAGCAUCCCCGCCACCCCCAGCAUCGCCCACCGCCCGUUCACCAGCUCCGCCUGCACGAACCACCGCAGGUCCUCCGGGUCCUCCGCCAGCGCCAGCGGGUCAAAACCAUUGUCACCCGCCAGACUGCACACGUAUCGUCCGUCAGUACGGUCGUAAACAUAUGUAACAGCUGCGUGCAUGGGCACGACGGAAGUGGUGUGGCGUGUCGUGUGGUCUGCUCACCUGCCGUCGAGGUAGGCAGGGGACUGGAGGCCGGGGAGCCAGGACCCCUUGGCCUGGACGGCGACGUCGCGGCGGGUGGACUUGGCGAGCCCGACGCGGCCGGAGUCGCCCAGGAACCGGGGGCUCGACGCUGACGCCGCCGGCCGGAGAGCGGCCACGGGAGCGCGGGCACUGACCGACGACAUCUUCUGCUACUCCUGACUAGAGAGCGCGUACGGCAGGAGAGUGAGAGUGCGCGCGUGUGUGUGUGGUGGUUCUGCCUCUCCGCACCUGCGCUUGGCCCUUUGUAUUGGGCUGCGCUUCGGUGAUUUGUGGGUGUGGUGAGCUGGGCCCCGGAGGUCGAGAUGGACGGCGUGUGUUGGCGCCACCGCGUCGUCCGACGGCUGCGAUGCGUUUGCGCCUGGAGACUGGAUAGAUGGACCAGUGGGAGACCGGGAGGCGUAUGUGCGUUAUCUGGAUGAUGGAUAAUGCGGAAUCAAAAGGGGGAUCGCUAUUGGUCGGGGAAACGCACGUUCGGUUUACCUGGCUGCCACGUCGAUCGGACGAUCCGUCAUGAUGUACAGCUGUACAUGGUGCCAUGGCGGGUUGGUCUGUUUGCUUCAACUUUCGAGCUCUUCCACGGGAAACCGGCUUUCGCCCUAGAAAUGGCACGGAUGGUCGAACGGAUACAAGGUGAUGGAAAGAACCCCAUAGAAGGCGGUCGCGGCGAGCCGUCACGAUCCCGUAAUCGAACAAGAAAAUAAGAGUCGCCACACCUAACAUGAGGCGACCUAGACUAUUGAAUCGGAACUCAACCGUGCCGCCUAGGAAAAUCAUAGACCAUUAUGCAUAAAACACAUCAAGUUAUCGCCGGAGAAAGUAAGUGUCGAUCCAAUCCGUGGAGUUCCAAUCCUGCGAGCAGAUAGCGAGGACCAAUGACAUUGACUACGAGGACACGUGUAAAUGAUAGGGGAUCAACGGAUCCACUCCACGACGAAGCCGAAGGCACCGAUGUGCUGUAACUGGAUGAUAUUUGUGUUCCCCGACAAUGCCCCGAGGAGGGUAAUGAUGUAGAGCGUUGAUACGUCUCCAACGUAUUUAUGGUGUUUUUAUUGUGUCAUGCUAUUAUAUUAUCAAUUUCGGAUGCUUUAUAUGCUAUUUUAUAUCAUUUUUAAGAACUAACCUAUUAACCGAGUGUCCAGUGUCAGUUCCUAUUUUUUGCGUGUUUUGACUUCUCAGAAAAUCAAUAACAAACGAAGUUCAAACAUGAUGAAACUUUAUGAUGAUUCUUUCUGGACCAAAAAGGGACCCCUAGAAGGUUCGGGAGGAGGCCAGAAGACGUAGGGAGAGCCACAAGCUCACAGGGUGCGCCCCCCCCCCCCCGGGGGNNNNNNNNNNNNNNNNNNNNNNNNNNNNNNNNNNNNNNNNNNNNNNNNNNNNNNNNNNNNNNNNNNNNNNNNNNNNNNNNNNNNNNNNNNNNNNNNNNNNGACGUCUAACUUGUUUUUGCAGGGUAUGAUUGUGAUGUGAUAUGGCCAAUGAUGUGAUGUGAUAUAUUGGAUGUAUGAGAUGAUCAUGUUGUAAUAGAAAUAUCGACUUGCACGUCGAUGGUACGGCAACCGGCAGGAGCCAUAGGGUUGUCUUUAUACUAACGUUUGUGCUUGCAGAUGCGUUUACUAUUUUGCUAGGAUGUAGCUUUAGUAGUAAUAGCAUAAGUAGCACGACAACCCCGAUGUCAACAUGUUGAUGGAUGAUCAUGGUGUGGCGCCGGUGACAAGAAGAUCGUGCCGGUGCUUUGGUGAUGGAGAUCAAGNNNNNNNNNNCUUGCAGAUGCGUUUACUAUAUUGCUAGGACGUAGCUUUAGUAGUAAUAGCAUGCGUAGCACGACAACCCCGAUGGCGACACGUUGAUGGAGAUCAUGAUGAUGGAGAUCAUGGUGUGACGCCGGUGACAAGAAGAUCGUGCCGGUGCUUUGGUGAUGGAGAUCAAGAAGCACGUGAUGAUGGCCAUAUCAUGUCACUUAUGAAUUGCAUGUGAUGUUAAUCCUUUUUGCACCUUAUCUUUCUUAGAACGACGGUAGCAUUAUGAGGUGAUCUCUCACUAAAAUUUCAAGACGAAAUUGUGUUCUCCCCGACUGUGCACCGUUGCGACAGUUCUUCGUUUCGAGACACCAGGUGAUGAUCGGGUGUGAUAGACUCAACGUUCACAUACAACGGGUGCAANNNNNNNNNNUGAAAUUGUGUUCUCCCCGACUGUGCACCGUUGCUACAGUUCGUCAUUUCGAGACACCACGUGAUGAUCGGUGUGAUAGACUCAACGUUCACAUACGACGGGUGCAAAACAGUUGCGCACGCGGAACACUCGGGUUAAGCUUGACGAGCCUAGCAUGUGCAGACAUGGCCUCGGAACACAUGAGACCGAAAGGUCGAUCAUGAAUCAUAUAGAUGAUGUGAUUAGCAUAGGGAUGCUUACCACUGAAACUAUACUCAACUCACGUGAUGAUCGGACUUGAGAUAGUGUAGGUGGAUCAUGAACCACUCAAAUGACUAGAGAGAUGUAAUUUUUGAGUGGGAGUUUAGCAGAUAAUUUGAUUAAGUUGAACUCUAAUUAUCUUCAACAUAGUCUAAGUCCACUUUGAAUAUAUUUGUGUUGUAGAUCAUGGCUGACGCAAGUGUCAUCCUGAAUUUUAAUACGUUCCUAGAGAAAGCUAAGUUGAAAGAUGAUGGAAGCAACUUUGUAGACUGGGCUCGUAAUCUUAAGCUAAUCUUACAAGCUGGGAAGAAGGAUUAUGUCCUUGAUGCUGCGCUAGGAGAUGAACCACCCGCUACGGCUGAUCAGGAUGUUAAGAACGCUUGGUUAGCGCGUAAGGAGGACUACUCAAUAGUUCAAUGUGCAGUCUUGUAUGGCUUAGAACCGGGACUUCAACGUCGCUUUGAGCGUCAUGGAGCAUUUGAGAUGUUCCAGGUGUUGAAGUUUAUCUUUCAGAAGAACGCCUGGAUCGAGAGGUAUGAGACCUCCGAUAAAUUCUAUGCUUGCAAGAUGGAGGAAAACUCGUCUGUCAGUGAACAUGUGCUCAAAAUGUCUGGGUACUCAAACCGUCUAGCUGAGCAGGGGAUUGAACUCCCGCAAGAGGCUAUCACUGACAGAAUCCUUCAAUCACUGCCACCAAGCUACAAAGGCUUUGUGUUGAACUACAACAUGCAAGGGAUGAACAAGUCACCCGGCGAGUUGUUUGCGAUGUUGAAAGUCGCAGAGUCUGAACUCCGUAAAGAGCAUCAAGUGUUGAUGGUGAAUAAGACCACUAGUUUCAAGAGAAACGGCAAAGGCAAGAAGGGUAAUUCAAAGAAGAGACUUGCCGGUAAACGAGAUUGAAAUAGGUAUGCGGAUACUGACGAUCGAAUCUCGGGCAAGUAACAUACCGAAGGACAAAGGGAAUGACAUACGGGAUUAUANNNNNNNNNNNNNNNNNNNNNNNNNNNNNNNNNNNNNNNNNNNNNNNNNNNNNNNNNNNNNNNNNNNNNNNNNNNNNNNNNNNNNNNNNNNNNNNNNNNNUGUGUGUGUGUGUGUGUGCACACUUGUGAUAGUGCAAGUGAUGUGUGUAUGUGUUUAUGUGGCUUAGUUGAAAAGUGGCUCAUGUGAUCUUGCUAGUGUGUUUGGGUGUGUAGUACUUGCAAAGUAUGUGCAUUGUGGAAUAGGUGAGAUGUGUGUGUUGAGGUGAUGUGUGUGUAAGUAGUGCACACAUAUGUGGUACCUAGCAGGAGUGUAUGUAUGUGUGGAUCCAUGUUUACUUGCAUAGCAGUUGUUCCUUCAUGUUGUGCUUGAGAUUAAGUGCUUGUGAUGAGGGUAUUGUGAUGAUAUGUGUGUGGUGAUAACAGCCCCAUUUUCAACACUUGUGCACCUCCUCAUGUUCAUAUGAGAGAGGACAUGAUGUGUGUGUGUGUGAGGGUGAUCUAGUGAAAGUUGUGCUAGUGGUGUUGANNNNNNNNNNGCAACACUUGUGCACCUCCUCAUGUUGAUAUGAGAGAGGGCAUGAUGUGUGUGUGUGAGGGUGAUCUAGUGAAAGUUGUGCUAGUGGUGUUGAUAUGCAUAACACAUACAUGGGGUUCAAACCCCCAUGUCACUUUUUCAUUGUGCACAUGAGCUCAACCUUUGUAGUUGUUGACUUAGUAGGAACUACAUGAAAUGAUGCCCAUUCCCUAGGCAUGAUUUGGAGUAGUUUCCUCUCCCUUAUUUUGUGGUCACUUGUUCCAAGUAAGUGCCCACAUAUUAUAUAUGAUUUUGGGGUAGAAUCUCCCAAGGAAUCCAGUGGUGAAGUUAGUUUUUCCAUUACGAUACUUUAUGGAGUUGACAUAUUCAGAUUUGUUGCAAGUUUGAUCUUUGAUUCCAUGGAAUAGGUGGAGCCCAAGGGCANNNNNNNNNNGCCAUUAGGAUAAUUUCUGGAGUUGACAUAUUCAGAUUUAUUGCAAGUUUGAUCUUUGAUUCCAUGGAAUAGGUGGAGCCCAAGGGCAUGAGUUUUUGUGUGAUAGUAGUAGGGUUUUGCUCUACACCAUAGUGGUGUCAUAUAUCACUUGGUGUUACUUGUGUGCAAACUAUGCCUAGACAAAGUGGGCAUGUGGUUGAAAAUUCCAGUUUAGUGAAAUCUGGAAUUUCACUAAGUCUGGGAUUCUGGAAACAUUUUCUUCUCUUAUAGAUGAGGAUGUGCUGGUCAUUGUGUUGAGAUCUAGCCUUAGUUCAGUGCUAGGAUUUUGGACCUGAUAUGUUUUUUAAGUUCCCUGUCAAAUUUCAAAUCAUUUGGAGUCUAGUAGGUUGUGUUUUGAUUGCUGUCAAAAAGCUUCAGAACAAAGACAGNNNNNNNNNNAUAGCCUUAGUUCAGUGCUAGGAUUUUGGACCUGAUAUGUUUGUGAUGCUUCCUGUCAAAUUUCAAAUCAUUUCGAGUCCAGUAGGUUGUGUUUUGAUUGCUGUCAAAAAGCUUCAGAACAAAGACAGAAAUUCAGGUGCAGGAAUUUUCACCAAGUCCCUGAGAUCUGAUGGUUUUGGGGAAGUUUGUGGCCUUGUAUAUUAAUUCCUUUUGCUGUGAUUCUUGCUGGUGCUUGUAGGGUUCUUAGUGGGCUACAGCCACAUAUAUUAUUUGACAUAUUUGGUGGCCUGUAGCUAUGUUGCAUGUAGCUCACAAAGUGCUAAGAUGCAGUUUAUGGCAGAUUAUGUAGUUUUGUCAUUUCUAUGAUUGUGUGUGCUUAGUGGAUGUGGUGGUGCUCUUACUUGCUCCAAUCCAUUCAUGUGGGAGUGGUACAUGUCUUGGCAACCUGNNNNNNNNNNUAUGCAGUUUAUGGCAGAUUAUGUAGUUUUGUCAUUUUGAUGAUUGUGUGUGCUUAGUGGAUGUGGUGGUGCUCUUCCUUGCUCCAAUCCAUUCAUGUGGGAGUGGUACAUGUCUUGGCAACCUGGGAAUACCAGAUUUGUGCCAAUUGUGAGUGUGGUGUUGAUUCUUACACGUAGAGCUUCAUAUCUUGUUUCGUUGAUUCCCGUUGAACCGUAGCUCCGUUCGCAAUGUUCUUUAUAUGUUUUUGCAUAGUUUUCACGAGACGCAUCUCUUCAUGCCAUUCUCAUGCAUGUAAAAAUAUCCUAGUUUACAGUUCUGUCCAGAAACUUAUAGUAGUUCUUUUGCUUGUGCUAGUGAUAGAAAUAGUGAUGCAUGCUCAUUUUUCANNNNNNNNNNACAAUGUUCUUUAUAUGUUUUUGCAUCGUUUUCACGAGACGCAUCUCUUCAUGCCAUUCUCAUGCAUGUCGAAAUAGCCUAGUGUAAAGUUCUGUCCAGAAACUUAUAGUAGUUCCUUUUGCUUGUGCUAGUGAUAGAAAUAGUGAUGCAUGCUCAUUUUUCAUCUCAUGCAUCAUGUGAUUGUUGCAUCUUGUNNNNNNNNNNNNNNNNNNNNNNNNNNNNNNNNNNNNNNNNNNNNNNNNNNNNNNNNNNNNNNNNNNNNNNNNNNNNNNNNNNNNNNNNNNNNNNNNNNNNGAACAACAUUCGGUAACCAACCAUAUAACUCAAAUACGCAUAAAACAAUGUCGAACCUUAAGUGUGCAGACCCUACGGGUUCAGGAACUAUGUAGACAUCACCCGAGAGACUCCUCGGUCAAUAUCCAAUAGCGGGACCUGGAUGCCCAUAUUGGAUCCUACAUAUUCUACGAAGAUUUUAUCGUUUGAACAUCAGUGCCAAGGAUUCAUAUAAUCCCGUAUGUCAUUCCCUUUGUCCUUCGGUAUGUUACUUGCCCGAGAUUCGAUCAUCAGUAUCCGCAUACCUAUUUCAAUCUCAUUUGCCGGCAAGUCUCUUUACUCGUUCCGUAAUACAAGAUCCGCAACUUACACUAAGUCACAUUACUUGCAAGGCUUGUGUAUGAUGUUGUAUUACCGAGUGGGCCCCGAGAUACCUCUCCGUCACACGGAGUGACAAAUCCCAGUCUCGAUCCAUACUAACUCAACUAACACCUUCGGAGAUACCUGUAGAGCAUCUUUAUAGUCACCCAGUUACNNNNNNNNNNNNNNNNNNNNNNNNNNNNNNNNNNNNNNNNNNNNNNNNNNNNNNNNNNNNNNNNNNNNNNNNNNNNNNNNNNNNNNNNNNNNNNNNNNNNGUAGACCGAUAAUUUCUGCAUCUACUACUAUUACUCCACACGUCGACCGCUAUCCAGCAUGCAUCUAGUGUUUUGAGUUCAUGACGAACAGAGUAACGCCUUAAGAAAGAUGACAUGAUGUAGAGGGAUAAUCUCAAACCAAUGAUGAAAACCCCAUCUUUUUACCCUUGAUGGCAACAACACGAUACGUGCCUCGCUACCCCUUCUAUCACUUGGUGAGGUCACCGCACGGUAUGAACCCAAAACCAAGCAAUUCUCCCAUUGCAAGAAUCAUAGAUCUAGUUGGCCAAACAAAACCCACAACUCGAAGUGAAUUACAAGGAUAUGCAAUCAUGCAUAAGAGAGAUCAGAAGAAACUCAAAUAAGAUUCAUAGAUAAUCUGAUCAUAAAUCCACAAUUCAUCGGAUCUCGACAAACACACCGCAAAAGAAGAUUACAUCGGAUAGAUCUCCAUGAAGAUCAUGGAGAACUUUGUAUUGAAGAUCCAAGAGAGAGAAGAAGCCAUCUAGCUACUAGCUAUGGACCCGUAGGUCUGUGGUGAACUACUCACGCAUCAUCGGAGAGGUCAUGGUGUUGAUGAAGAAGCCCUCCGUAUCCGAAUCCCCCCUCGGUAGGGCACCAGAAUGUGCCCCAGAUGGGAUCUUGCGGAGACAGAAGCUUGCGGCGGCGGAAAAGUACUUUUGAUGAUCUCCUGAUUUUUUCUGGGAUUUUAGGUAAUUUAUAGGCGAAAGACCUAGGGAAGAGGUGGCCCAGGGAGCCCACAAGCCUGGGAGGCGCGGGCCCCCCUGGCCGCGGCUAGGGGGCUUGUGGGGUCCCUGCUGCCCCCCUGCCCAGAUUCUCAGGCUUCUUGAUCUUCUUAUAUUUCGGAAAAAAUCUUUUUGGCAGUUUCGUUCCGUUUGGACUCCGUUUAAAAUCCUCCUCUGAAAAGGGUCAAAAACAUGGAAAAAACAGGAACUGGCACUUGUCACUGAGUUAAUAAGUUAGUCCCAAAAAAUAUAUAAAAGGCAUACAAAACAUCCAAAGUUUGACAAGAUAAUAGCAUGAAACCAUCAAAAAUUAUAGAUACGUUGGAGAUGUAUUAACCUACGAGGUUUGUAGUAACUUGAUCCGAAGCUCUAAUGAUCACUAUCAUCAGCUUCCACUUCAAUUGGUGUAGGCGUCACAGGAACAACUUCCUGCGCCCUGCUACACACUGGUUGAAGUGACGGUUCAAUAACCUCAUCAAGUUCCACCAGUCUCCCACCCAAUUCUUUGGAGAGAAACCUUUCCUCGAGAAAGGAUCCGUUUCUAGAAACAAACACUUUGCUUCCGGAUCUGAGAUAGGAGAUGUAUCCAACUGUUUUGGAUAUCCUAUGAAGAUGCAUUUAUCCGCUUUGGGAUCGAGCUUAUUAGACUGAAACCUUUUCACAUAAGCAUCGCAACCCCAAACUUUCAAGAAACGACAGCUUAGGUUUCUCUAAACCAUAGUCUAUGGCGUGUCAUCUCAACGGAAGUAUGCGGUGCCCUAUUUAAAGUGAAUGUGGUUGUCUCUAAUGCAUAACCCAUAAACGAUAGUGGUAAUUCGAUAAGAGACAUCAUAGUAUGCACCAUAUCAUAAUAGGGUGUGGCUAUGACGUUCACACACAUCAUCACACUAUGGUGUUCCAGGUGGCAUGAACUGCGAAACAAUUUUCACAUUGUCUUAACUGCGUACCAAAAACUCGCAACUCAGAUAUUCAUCUCUAUGAUCAUAUCGUAGACAGUUUAUCCACUUGUCACAACGAUCUUCACUCUGAAAUAGCUUUGAACUUUUCAAUAUUUCAGACUUGUGAUUCAUCAAGUAAAUACUCGUGUAUCUACUCAAAUCGUCAGUGAAGUAAGAACAUAACGAUAUCCACUGCGUGCCUCAGCACUCAUUGGACUGCACACAUCAAAAAUGUAUUACUCCCAACAAGUUACUCUCUUGUUUCAUGUAGCAUGAUCUGCAUGUCUCAAGUGAUUCAAAAUCAAGUGAGCCCAAACGGUCCAUCCGCAUGGAGUUUCUUCAUGCGUUUAUACCAACAAGUAUGGUUUGCAUGUUUCAAUCGUUUCAAAAAAUGAGUGAGUACAAAGAUCCAUCAGCAUGGAGCUUCUUCAUGCAUUUUAUACCAACAUGACUCAAGUGGCAGUGCUACAACUAAGUGGUACUAUCAUUAUAACUUUGUAUCUUUUGGCACCAAUAUUAUGAACAUGUGUAACACUAUGAUCGAGAUUCAAUAAACCAUUGAGGGUAAUUAUUCAAGCAAAUAGAAUAACUAUUAUUCUCUUUAAUUGAAUAAUUGUAUUGCAAUGAACACGAUCCAAUCAUGUUCAUGAUUAACGCAAUCACCAAAUAACAAUUAUUUAAGUUUUACCACCAAUCUGGAUGAUAGAGGGAGCGUGCGAUGUUUGAUCACAUCAACCUUGGAAACACUUCCAACACGUAUUGUCACCUCGCCUUUAGCUAGUCUCCGUUUAUACCGUAGCUUUCAUUUCGAGUUACUAAUCACUUAGCAACCGAACCGGUAUCGAAUACCCUCGUGCUACUAGGAGUAAAGUACACAUCAAUAUCAUGCAUAUCAAAUAUACUUCUGUCGACUUUGCCAGCCUUCUUAUCUACCAAGUAUCUAGGGUAGCUCCGCCUCACUGACCGUUCCCCUCAUAACAGAAGCACUCAGUCUCGGGUUUGGGUUCAAUUUUGGGUUUCUUCAUUAGAGCAGCAACUUGUUUGCCGUUUCAUGAAGUAUCCCUUCAAGCCCUUACCCUUCUUGAAACUAGUGGUUUUACUAAGCAUCAACAAUUGAUGCUCCUUCUUGAUUUCUACUUUCACAGUGUCAAACAUUGCAAAUCACUCAAGGAUCAUCAUAUCUAUCCUUGAUUUGUUUAUAGUUCAUCACGAAGCUCUAGCAGCUUAGUCGCAGUGACUUUGGAGAACCAUCACUAUCUCAUCUGGAAGAUUAACUCCCACUUGAUUCAAGCGAUUGUUGUACUGAGACAAUCUGAGAACAUGCUCAACGAUUUGAGCUUUUCUCCUUUACUUUGUAGGCAAAGAAUCUUGUCGGAGGUCUUAUAUCUCUCAACAAGGGCACGAGCAUGAAAUCUCAAUUUCAUCUCUUUGAACAUCUCUUAUGUUCUGCGAUGUUUUCAAAACGUCUUCAGUGCCUUGCUUCUAAGCCAUUAAGUAUUGCGCACUGAACUAUUAUGUAGUCAUCAAAGACGUGUAUGUCAGAUGUUUGCAGCAUCCACAAACAACACCUGAGGUGCAGCACACCAAGUGGUGCAUUAAGGACAUAAGACUUCUGCGCAACAAUGAGGACAAUACUCAGUUUUACGGACUGAGUCCGCAAAGUUGCUACUAUCAACUUUGAACUAAAUUUUCUCUAGGAACAUAUAAAAACAGUAGAGCUAUAGCGCAAGCUACAUCGUAAUUUGCAAAUACCAUUGGACUAUGUUCAUGAUAAUUAGUUCAAUUAAUCAUAUUACUUAAGAACUCCCACUCAAAAAGUACAUCUCUCUAGUCAUUUGAGUGGUACAUGAUCCGAAUCCACUAUCUCAAGUCCGAUCAUCACGUGAGUCGAGAAUAGUUUCAGUGGCAAGCAUCUCUAUGCUAAUCAUAUCAACUAUACGAUUCAUGCUCGACCUUUCGGUCUCUUGUGUUCCGGGGCCAUGUCUGCACAUGCUAGGCUCGUCAAGUUUUACCCGAGUGUUCCGCGUGUGCAACUGUUUUGCACCCGUUGUAUGUGAACGUUGAGUCUAUCACACCCGAUCAUCACGUGGUGUCUCGAAUCAACAAACUGUAGCAACGGUGCAGAGUCGGGGAGAACACAAUUUCGUCUUGAAAUUUUAGUGAGAGAUCACCACAUAAUGCUAUCGUCGUUCUAAGCAAAAUAAGGUGCAUAAAAGGAUUAACAUCACAUGCAAUUCAUAAGUGAAUGAUAUGGCCAUCAUCACGUGCUUCUUUAUCUCCAUCACCAAAGCAUCGACAUGAUCUUCUUGUCACCGGUGCCACACCAUGAUCUCCAUCAACGUGUCGCCAUCGGGGUUGUCGUGCUACUUAUGCUAUUACUACUAAAGCUACGUCCUAGCAAUAUACUAAACGCAUCUGCAAACACAAACGUUAGUUUAAAGACAACCCUAUGGCUCCUGCGGGUUGCCGUACCAUCGACGUGCAAGUCGAUAUUAACUAUUACAACAUGAUCAUCUCAUACAUCCAAUAUAUCACAUCACGUCAUUGGCCAUAUCAUAUCACAAGCAUAUCCUUCGAAAACAAGUUAGACGUCCUCUAAUUGUUGUUGAAUGUUUUACGUGGUUUCAAUGGGUAUCUAGUAGAUCGCAUCUUACUUACGCAAAAACCACAACGCAGAUGUGCAAAUUGCUAUUUAUCCUCUCCAGGGACCGCCUCGGUCAAAACCAAUUCAACUAAAGUUGAAGAAACCGACACCCGCCAGUCAUCUUUAUGCAACGAGGUUGCAUGUCAAUCGAUGAAACUAGUCUUUUGUAAGCAUACGAAUAAUGUCGGUCCGGGCCGCUUCAAUCCAAAAAUACCGCCAAAUUGAGAAAAGACUCAGGAGGGCAGCAAAUCGAACAUCACCGUCCAGAAAACCCUUUGUGUUCUACUCGAGAUUACAUCUACGCAUGAACCUAGCUCAUGAUGCCUAUGUUGGGGAACGUCGCAUGGGAAACAAAAAAUUUCCUACGCGCACGAAGACCUACCGUGGUGAUGUCCAUCUACGAGAGGAGAUUUGGAUCUACGUACCCUUAAAGAUCGCACAGCAGGAAGCGUUAAGAAACGCGGUUGAUGUAGUGGAACGUCCUCACGUCCCUCGAUCCGCCCCNNNNNNNNNNUCCGUCCCACGAUCCGCUCCGAUCUAGUGCCGAACGGACGGCACCUCCAUGUUCAGCACACGUACAGCUCGACGAUGAUCUCGGCCUUCUUGAUCCAGAAAGUAAGACGAAGAAGUAGAUGAGUUCUCCGGCAGCGUGAAGGCGCUUCGGUGGUGGUUGCUACGACAACAAAAGUUCUUCCCCGGCAAUGGCGCCAGAAAUCCUUCUUGCUACUUCUCAAACAACAACGCCAAAAUUGACACGUUGACGGAGACUUGCUUGCGUCGGUUUUUGCCUUGAAGAGGAAAGGGUGAUGCAGCACAGGAGCAGUAAGUAUUUCCCUCAGUUUGAGAACCAAGGUAUCAAUCCAGUAGGAGAAUCUCGUCAAGUCCAGAGUACCUCCACAAACAUAAAGAUCUUGCACCCAAUGCUAUAAAGGGGUUGUCAAUCCCUUCAAGAUUGAUUGCAAAGUGAGAUUUGAAGGCGGAAAGUGCAACGAAGUAAAAUUGUAAGGCUAAAAAUAUGGUGUGGAGUAGACCCCGGGGCCAUAGUGUUCACUAGAGGCUUCUCUCAAAAUAGCAAAUAUUACAGUGGGUGAACAAAUUACUGUCGAGAAAUUGAUAGAACCGCGCAAAGUCAUGACGAUAUCUAAGGCAAUGAUCAUACAUAUAGGCAUCACGUCCGAGACAACUAGACCGAUACUUUCUGCAUCUACUACUAUUACUCCACACAUCGACCGCUAUCCAGCAUGCAUCUAGUGUAUUGAGUUCAUGACGAACAGAGUAACGCCUUAAGCAAGAUGACAUGAUGUAGAGGGAUAAUCUCAAACCAAUGAUGAGAACCCCAUCUUUUUACCCUCGAUGGCAACAACACGAUGCGUGCCUCGCUACCCCUUCUGUCACUGGGUGAGGUCACCACACGGUAUGAACCCAAAACCAAGCACUUCUCCCAUUGCAAGAAUCAUCGAUCUAGUUGGCCAAACAAAACCCACAACUCGAAGAGAAUUACAAGGAUAUGAAAUCAUGCAUAAGAGAGAUCGGAAGAAACUCAAAUAAGACUCAUAGAUAAUCUGAUCAUAAAUCCACAAUUGAUCGAAUGUCGACAAACACACCGCAAAAGAAGAUUACAUCGGAUAGAUCUCCAUGANNNNNNNNNNNNNNNNNNNNNNNNNNNNNNNNNNNNNNNNNNNNNNNNNNNNNNNNNNNNNNNNNNNNNNNNNNNNNNNNNNNNNNNNNNNNNNNNNNNNNNNNNNNNNNNNNNNNNNNNNNNNNNNNNNNNNNNNNNNNNNNNNAUACUAGCUAUGGACCCGUAGGUCUAUGGUGAACUACUCACGCAUCAUCGGAGAGGUCAUGGUGUUGCUGAAGAAGCCCUCUGUAUCCGAAUCCCCCCUCCGACAGGGCACCGGAACGUGCCCCAGAUGGGAUCUUGUAGAGACAGAAGCUUGCGGCGGCGGAAAAGUACUUUCGAUGAUCUCCUGAUUUUUUUCUGGGAUUUUAGGGAAUUUAUAGGCGAAAGUCCUAGGGCAGAGCUGGCCCAAGGAGCCCACAAGCCUGGGAGGCGCGGGCCCCCUGGUCGCGGCUAGGGGGCUUGUGGGGUCCCUGCAGCCCCCCUGCCCUGAUUCUCAGGUUUCCCGAUCUUCUUCUGUUUCAGAAAAAAUCUUUUUGACAGUUUCAUUCCGUUUGGACUCCGUUUAAAAUCCUCCUUUGAAAGGGGUCAAAAACAUGGGGAAAUAGGAACUGGCACUGAGUUAAUAAGUUAGUCCCAAAAAGUAUAUAAAAGGCAUGCAAAACAUCCAAAGUUUGACAAGAUAAUAGCAUGAAACCAUAAAAAUUAUAGAUACAUUGGAUACGUAUCAAGCAUCCCCAAGCUUAACUCCUGCUCGUCCUAAAGUAGGGAAGUGAUAAAGAAUUAAAUUUUGAUGUGGAAUGCUACCUAGCAUAGUUGUCCUUUGCAACUUCUUUCAUGUGACAUGAGUGUUCAGAUCCGUGAGAUUGAAAACAAUAGUUUGCUAUUGACAUGAAAACAAUAAUACUUCAAGCAAACUAGCAAGGUAAUCAUGAACUUUAAAAAUAACAAGGCCAAGGAAAGUUAUCCCUACAAAAUUAUAUAGUCUGGCUAUGCUCCAUCAUCCUCACACAACUAAUGUAAAUCAUGCACAACCCCGGUAUUGGCCAAGAAAUAGUUUUCGCACUCUUACUUUCUCAAACUUUUUAUAACUAUCAUGCAAUACAUGAGCGUGAGCCAUGGAUAUAGCACUAUAAUUGGAAUAGAGUGUGGUGGUGGUUGUGAGACAAAAAGGAGAAGAUGGUCACAUUGACUCUGCGUAUCAAAGGGCUAUGGAGAUACCCAUUAAUAGAUAUCAAUGUGAAUGAGUAGGGAUUGCCAUACAAAGGAUGCACUAGAGCUAUAAGUAUGUGAAAGCUCAAAAGGAAAACUAGUGGGUGUGCAUCCAACUUGCUUUCUCACGAAGACCUAGGGCAAUUUUGAGGAAACCCAUCAUUGGAAUAUACAAGCCAAGUUAUAUAGUGAAGAUUCCAACUAGCAUAUGGUGGUGACGAAACGAGAGGCUCUCAAUCAUGAAGAACAUGGUGCUAUUAUGAAGCACAAGUGUGGAAAAAGAUAGUAGCAUUGUCCCUUCUCUCUUUUCUCUCUUCUUCUUUUUUAUUUGGGCUCUUAGGCCUCUUUUUCUCUUUUUUUGGGCUCUUUGGCCUCUUUUUUUAUUUUAUUUCCUCACAUGGGACAAUGCUCUAAUAAUGAUGAUCAUCACACUUUUAUUUACUCACAGCUCAAAGCUUAGAAAUGACUUCUAUAGGAAAUGCCUCCGGCAGUGUACCGGGAUGUGCAACGAUCUAGCUUGGCGUAUGACGUUGAAACAUAUCGCUAGCUAUCUUGCGAUCAUGCAAUGGAAAUAUGAGAGUGACGGCACAAGUCAUGAGACGGAACGGUGGGAGUUGCAUGUCAAUAUAUCUCGGAAUGGCUACGAAAAUGCCAUAGUAGGUAGAUAUGGUGGUUGUUUUGAGGAAGGCAUUUGGUGGGUUUGUGUACCGGCGAGAAUUGCACGGCACUAGAGAGGCUAGCAAUGGUGAAAGGUGGAAGUGCAUCUAUACCAUGGACUCACAUUAGUCAUGAAGAACUCACAUACAUGUUGCGAAAUUUUUUAUUAGUAAUCGAAACAAAGUGCUAAACGCAUACUCCUAGGGGAAGGGUUGGUAGGUGUUAACCAUCGCACGAACCCGACCUCAACACAAAGGAUGACAAUCAAUAGAUCAAUUAUGCUUCGACUUCCUAACAUAGCGGUUCACCAUACGUGCAUGCUACGGGAAUCACUAACUUUAACACAAGUAUUUCUAGAUUCACAAUACCCUACUAACAUAACUCUUAAUAUUACCAAAUCCACGCCUCCAAACUAAUUGAGAGGAAUCAAAACUUCUCUUUCUACUCAAUGCACAUGAAUAUGGAGGUUUUUGUAUCCUCUUUGGGUACCUAUCACCUUUGGGACUACUUUCAUAGCAUAAGCCAACUACCAAAUCACGCACCGCCGUGCUCUAACAGAUCUAAGUGAAGCACAUAUAGCAAAAUUGUCUAGCUGAAAAGAUAUAAGUGAAGCACAAUGAGCAUUCUAGCAAAAUCACGGUGAGUUCAUGUCUAUCUCUAAAGGUGUGCAUCAAGGAUGAUUGUGACACAACAAAAAGAAAAUAAUCCUAAGAUACAAGACACUCCAAGCAAAACACAUAUCAUGUGGUGAAUAAAAAUAUAGCUCCAAGUAAUGUUACCGAUGGAUUGAAGACGAAAGAGGGGAUGCCUUCCCGGGGCAUNNNNNNNNNNNNNNNNNNNNNNNNNNNNNNNNNNNNNNNNNNNNNNNNNNNNNNNNNNNNNNNNNNNNNNNNNNNNNNNNNNNNNNNNNNNNNNNNNNNNGGAUGCCUUUGCGGCCUGUGUUCGUUUAUGAUGGACUAGUUGGAGCACCCCUGCAGGGUUUAAUCUUUCAGAAAGCCGUGCCCACGGUUAUGUGGCAACUUGGAAUAUUUUGUUAACAUCCGGUAUUAGAGAACUUGAACAUAAGCUAAUAAAAUUGCCAACUGUGUGCGUAUCCGUGUCUGUCCCCUCGAAGAUCCCUCUUCGAUCGGGAACACGGUGGGGUUAUGAAUGCCGUAGGUAGGUGGUCAGGAUCACUUAGUGAUCAAGUAUUCCCGACCGCUAGUGUAGACCACCUUCACAAUUACUUCGCGUAAGUUAGCCACUUAAUCAAGCUUAGGAUGCUGCAGCCUUAUACACUUCACCCUUACCCUACCUAAUAACAUGACUAGUUCUGGCACCAAGGUCUUAGAUUGCUGAGUCCCCGUGGCUCACGGAUUCCUCCGAAACUCCCAGCAGGUACAGGUACCCCAGAUAUAGAUGAUCCCGACGGCACCCAGCUGGCGUGGCAGUACGACGAGGAGACAGACCGCCUCUACGUGACCUAUCCAGGGGACUGAGGCGUGGUCGUGAUCGUGGGCCUGCAGGCAGGGUAGCAUAGCAUUUCCAUGUUUUGUAGUCCGUAGCGGAACUACNNNNNNNNNNNNNNNNNNNNNNNNNNNNNNNNNNNNNNNNNNNNNNNNNNNNNNNNNNNNNNNNNNNNNNNNNNNNNNNNNNNNNNNNNNNNNNNNNNNNAAAAAAAAGAGCAGGUGGGAAAAGGGGGAAGGACUCCUCCUUCCAAACCUAAUUGGACUCGGUUUGGAAGGGGAGGGUUGCCCCCCUUGGCUCGGCCGCCCCCUUGGGAGUCCUUGGACCCCAAGGCAAGGCUCCCCCUCCUCCCCCUAUAUAUACGCAGGUUUUAGGGCUGAUUUGAGACAACUUUGCCACGACAGCCCGACCACAUAUCUCCACGGUUUCACCUCUAGAUCGCGUUUCUGCGGAGCUCGGGCGGAGCCCUGUGAGAUAAGAUCACCACCAACCUCCGUAGCUCCGUCACGCUGGCGGAGAACUCAUCUACCUCUCCAUCACUCUUGCUGGAUCNNNNNNNNNNAGUUUCACCUCUAGAUCGCGUUUCUGCGGAGCUCGGGCGGAGCCCUGCUGAGAUAAGAUCACCACCAACCUCCGGAGCGCCAUCACGCUGGCGGAGAACUCAUCUACCUCUCCAUCACUCUUGCUGGAUCAAGAAGGCCGAGAUCAUCGUCGAGCUGUACGUGUGCUGAACGCGGAGGUGCCGUCCGUUCGGCACUAGAUCGUGGGACUGAUCGCGGGACGGUUCGCGGGGCGGAUCGAGGGACAUGAGGACGUUCCACUACAUCAACUGUGUUCACUAAUGCUUCUGCUGUGCGGUCUACAAGGGUACCUAGAUCGAACAUCCCCUCUCGUAGAUGGACAUCACCAUGAUAGGUCUUCGUGCGCGUAGGAAAUUUUUUGUUUCCCACGCGACGUUCCCCAACAGUGGCACCAUGAGCUAGGUUCAUGCGUAGAUGUCUUCUCGAGUAGAACACAAAAGUUUUUGUGGGCGGUGAUGUGCGUUUUGCUGCCCUCCUUAGUCUUUUCUUGAUUCCGCGGUAUUGUUGGAUUGAAGCGGCUUGGACCGACAUUACUCGUACGCUUACGAGAGACUGGUUUCAUCGUUACGAGUAACCCCCUUUGCUCAAAGAUGACUGGCAAGUGACGGUUUCUCCAACUUUAGUUGAAUCNNNNNNNNNNNNNNNNNNNNNNNNNNNNNNNNNNNNNNNNNNNNNNNNNNNNNNNNNNNNNNNNNNNNNNNNNNNNNNNNNNNNNNNNNNNNNNNNNNNNUGGGAUCUUGUAUUACGGAACGAGUAAAGAGACUUGCUGGUAAACGAGAUUGAAAUAGGUAUGCGGAUACUGACGAUUGAAUCUCGGGCAAGUAACGUACCGAAGGACAAAGGGAAUGACAUACGGGAUUAUACGAAUCCUUGGCACUGAGGUUCAAACGAUAAGACCUUCGUAGAAUAUGUAGGAUCCAAUAUGGGCAUCCAGGUCCCGCUGUUGGAUAUUGACCGAGGAGUCUCUCGGGUCAUGUCUACAUAGUUCUCGNNNNNNNNNNNNNNNNNNNNNNNNNNNNNNNNNNNNNNNNNNNNNNNNNNNNNNNNNNNNNNNNNNNNNNNNNNNNNNNNNNNNNNUGGGUCAUGUCUACAUAGUUCUCGAACCCGCAGGGUCUACACACUUAAGGUUCGACGUUGUUUUAUGCGUAUUAGAGUUAUAUGGUUGGUUACCGAAUGUUGUUCGGAGUCCCGGAUGAGAUCACGGACGUCACGAGGGUUUCCGGAAUGGUCCGGAAACGAAGAUUGAUAUAUAGGAUGACCUCAUUUGAUUACCGGAAGGUUUUCGGAGUAACCGGGAAUGUACCGGGAAUGACGAAUGGGUUCCGAAGUUCACCGGGGGGGCAACCCACCCCGGGGAAGCCCAUAGGCCUUGAGGGAGGCACACCAGCCCUUAGUGGGCUGGUGGGACAGCCCAAAAGAGCCCUAUGCGCCAUAGAGAUAAAAAUCAAAGAGAAAGAAAAAAAAAGGGAGGUGGGAAGGAAGGGAAGGACUCCCUCCCACCAAACCAAGUCCAACUCGGUUUCGGGGGGGAGUCUUCCCCCCUUGGACUCGGCCGACCCCCUUGGGGCUCCUUGAGCCCCAAGGCAAGGUCCCCUCCCUCCCACCUAUAUAUACGGAGGUUUUAGGGCUGAUUUGAGACGACUUUUCCACGGCAGCCCGACCACAUACCUCCACGGUUUUUCCUCUAGAUCGCGUUUCUGCGGANNNNNNNNNNGGCGGAGCCCUGCUGAGACAAGAUCAUCACCAACCUCCGGAGCGCCGUCACGCUGCCGGAGAACUCUUCUACCUCUCUGUCUCUCUUGCUGGACCAAGAAGGCCGAGAUCAUCGUCGAGCUGUACGUGUGCUGAACGCGGAGGUGCCGUCCGUUCGGUACUAGAUCGUGGGACUGAUCGCGGGAUUGUUCGCGGGGCGGAUCGAGGGACGUGAGGACGUUCCACUACAUCAANNNNNNNNNNNNNNNNNNNNNNNNNNNNNNNNNNNNNNNNNNNNNNNNNNNNNNNNNNNNNNNNNNNNNNNNNNNNNNNNNNNNNNNNNNNNNNNNNNNNCGGACCGUCGCCGUUGCACGUCGAACGACGCGGAACGCCGCCGCUCGCUCCGUCCACCGGUCGCCUCCCUCCGUCCUCGGAACCAGGCGCCGCCGCCGUCCUCCGAACCCGACCGAGGCCGGCGCCGGCCGGCGCCCACUCGACCCCCGAGAACCACGUCCAGGGUCGACCUCCGAGGCGCCACUUGGCCGCGGGCAGGCUGCGCUGGCUCCGGGCUCCGGGCGCGGGGGCGGGCGAGCGGCUGCUAGGCGGAGGACGAAGAGGAGGAGGAGGAAGACUUGACGAGGGCGGAGAGCCAGACGACGACGACGUUGAUGGAGAUGGUCACGUACGGCCUAGCGUCCACGGAGAAGUUGAAGCUGAAGUAGGACGCUCCCGGCGCCGAGGAAGAUGCCGCCAUCUCCAUGUCCAUGGUCUCUGUCUGUGGUAUGCCUGUCUCCUCUGCUCUUGCUGCCUUGGUGCUUCUUGCUUGCCUCUGGGAUGAGAGUUGUCGCUGGUCGCUGCGUGCUGGAUGCUAUUUGCAGAGCACGAAGGCUUGGCAUAUAUAGCUUGGUAGCCUCGCGAUAAGGCGCGAAACAAGUUGGAAGCGGGAUCGKACCCGUUGCGACUUGGGAAGAAGGAAAGCCGGGAGCGAAGAAGGUUCCCGGAAGCGGGGAGGCGUGGUGGAAACGCCGGACCAGACCGAGCGGUCGCCGGUUCGUGGCUUGUGAAAGUGAUGGAGCUGUCGUGCGCGCGCGCGCGGGGGUGUUUUUCAGCGGGUUUCGAGGGAGCUUCGCGGCGUGGAAACAUGCGCACCGGCGACCUGACCGUCCUGCUUUCUCGUGUUCUCGGUUGGGGUUGGCGUUGGAAUUCCACGCAGCCUCUCUCUCUCCUAUUUUAGUGGGCACGUCGCUCUCGUUUCGUCUGUGGUGCAGCCGCUCGUCUGCUACUCUUUCCGUUGUCGGGUUUCCUCCUGGUUGAUUUUCUUUUUGCGACUGAAUUCUGAUUUGAUUUUGAUAGAUAUAUGUGCGGUGGUGGACUGGUCGCAGGGAGCUGGGGGUGGUAUACGGCGACCGGUGUGAAGGAAGGUUGGUGAGUUGGCUGGCGAGCGCUUGACCAGAUUUCGUGGUGGACUCGACCAAACCAAACCAAACAGUGGCGUAGGUCUUUGCGCCAGCGGGCGUGAGGGAAUGCUUGCUCGUGCCCCCACCACCGGGUCGUCUCCGAUGACUGAGGUGUUUACACGCGACAGAGGUGCUAAUUAUGUGUGCUGCCGGCUGCAUAUAGAUCGAUAUACGCUAAAUGGAAACAUGACAACAAAACGUACGUUUGCCCGCACAAACCUUCCUGGACGGCAUGUUUGUCUCACGCUACUUUUCAUCCUUUGUUUUACAAAUUUGAAAUCUGAAGCUACAUUUCUUUUAAACACGAUAUAGAUGCAAGAGCUCAUAUAUAAGAGCAACUCUAGCAUACCCCGCAUCCCGUCGGCCCGUAAAACGCGUUUGCAGGUCGCGCAAAACAGCUUUUGCAGGCUGGCGUGGGCUGGCACAGAUGCGGACCCACCAAACGGAUCCGUAAAAAAAUAUAGUCGCGAAAUAUUCCUUUUUACGGGUCGGCUUUGCGGGAUCUGCUCUUUGCACCGCUGCUUCCCACGUAUCAUUAGCCCGCAAAUAUCAAAUACUCCCUCUGUAAGUUAAUAUAAGAGCAUUUAGACUACUAAAGUAGUGUUCUAAAUGCUCUUAUAUUAGUUUACGGGGACAUAAUUCAACAGCCGAAAACAAACUGAAUUAUUCGAAUCAAACACAAUACAAUAAUCAUCCGCAUUACAAACAAUUAUUCAAAACAUGUCAUGAAUACAAAUACAAAUGAAUACAAAAAUAAGUCACUGUCCAGCCAUUUGCCAAUGGUGUUCAAUGAGAUCUUUCUGAAGUUGAAAGUGGGUGUGUGGGUUUUCAAUCUCCUUGUCUGUCUGAAGAAAAGCUCUAAUGCGGUUUGGGUCUCUAGCUGGUUUAACACGGCUACCCACAUUGUCGUAAAAGAAUUCUAAGUUCCCAAGAUUCCUCGCAAGCUUGAACAAUUUUCACAAAGAGGGAUCGACGCAUUCCUUCUUUGAGUAAAUUACCGGCAAUUUUCCUCGCAAGCUUGAACAAUUUUCACAAAGAGGGAUCGGCGCAUUCGGUACCUUCUCCGGAAGAGGUGUGGAGGAUAUGUAGGAUGUUGGGGAACGUCGCAUGGAAAACAAAUUUUUUCCUACGCGCACAAAGACCUAUCAUGGUGAUGUCCAUCUACGAGGGGGAUUUCAGAUCUACGUACCCUUGUAGAUCGCACAGCAGAAGCGUUAAUAAACGCGGUUGAUGUAGUGGAACGUCCUCACGUCCCUCGAUCCGCCCCGCGAACCGUCCCACGAACCGUCCCGCGAUCUGUCCCACGAUCCGCUCCGAUCUAGUGCCGAACGGACGGCACCUCCGCGUUCAGCACACGUACAGCUCGACGAUGAUCUCGGCCUUCUUGAUCCAGCAAGAGAGACAGAGAGGUAGAUGAGUUCUCCGGCAGCAUGACGGCACUCCGAAGGUUUGUGGUGAUCUAAUCUCAGCAGGGCUCCGCGCGAGCUCCGCAGAAACGCGAUCUAGAGGAAAAACCGUGGAGGUAUGUGGUCGGACUGCCGUGGAAAAGUUAUCCCAAAUCAGCCCUAAAACCGCCGUAUAUAUAGGUGGGAGGGGAGGGGCCUUGCCUUGGGGCUCAAGGAGCCCCAAGGGGUUCGGCCGAAGGGGGGAGGAGGAGUCCUCCUCCAAUCCUAGUCCAACUAGGAUUGGAAGGUGGAGUCCUUCCCUUCCUUCCCACUUCCACUUUUUUCUCUUUGAUUUUCUUAUCUCCCUGCGCAGGGGCCUCUCUGGGCUUGCCCACCAACCCACUAAGGGCCGGUGCGGCACCACUAAGGCCUAUGGUCUUCCCCGGGGUGGGCUCGNNNNNNNNNNNNNNNNNNNNNNNNNNNNNNNNNNNNNNNNNNNNNNNNNNNNNNNNNNNNNNNNNNNNNNNNNNNNNNNNNNNNNNNNNNNNNNNNNNNNCUAAAAAAAGGGUUACUUUUAGUUUUGUAAAACAAAUUUUUAGGUAAUGUUACCUUUUCUAUAAUUUUUACUGAAAUUACUAAAACAAUAAUUACAGUUUUUCUAAAAAAAAUAGUUUUGAAAUUUUGAAAAAAUUAGGUUUAACUUUUUCAUUUUUUUAAGGUAGUUUUAMAAAWARUUACCAAAUUWCARWAAHAAUUUAAAAAAAAUAAAAAAAAUAAAAACAAAGAACAAAAAGGGUAAAAGGGAAAGAAAAUAAAAGAAAGAAAAAAACAAACAAAAAAUCUAAAAAAGAUAAAAUACCAAAAACGUAGAAGAAACAGGAGGAACCUUCUAGGAGAAAAAACGACUGAGAAACUAUAGAAGGUUCCCCAAACCGGAAUGGUGCAACUUGUUAAUAGUCGGCCCAGGUGAUUACCAUAAAAUGGACACAAUUUUAAUUGUAGAUGUAACUAAUUCACAAAAUGAAUCGUGCAUGAAAAUUCACAUGCAUAUCUUCUUUGUGUGGCGCCCGGUUGUACAUCGUGUAGCAUUUGAUCUACAGGCGCUACACCUCUGAUAAGCGUGGCAUCCGAGGUUAUAAUUCUGAUUGUAUGAUGUUUAAAUGAAAGGAGUCACUCUACAUUAUAUGACACCCGCUGAAAGAAGCCACAUUAUUUUAUAUUAAAAUUGAUGUAACUUUUAAUCCUUGCAUCCGAUGAAAAUAUGUUUUAUAUGAAUAUUGUGUAUUUUUCUGUGUUCUACGCAAUGGUGUCAUUUCCAUCGAUGUUAAGAUCAAUUUUCUUGAUGAAAUCUCUGUUGCAAAAAUGCGUCAUAAUAUAAUUGAUCGGAUUUGUUAAGACUUACAAAGUUGACAUGAUGGUAGCCACUGACUUAUAGCUUUUAUGCAUUUGCAUUCUACAUGAGUUUUACCCUAUAUAAUGUGUAUGUUCACGUCAUGUUCAUGCUUGUCAUGUUAGUCAUCUUUAAUAUGUUCAUGUCUUGCAUCUAAGUGACUAACAUGAUAUAUUUUUUGUAAACAAUCUUAUGAAGCUUUAUUUAACUGAAAUCAAUGUUUACAGAAAUAAAUGCAGGAUCAUCGGGUUGCUUAACCACACAUGGUCGCCAACCCCUAGUCUGGUAACAUGCUUCGUUAUGGAUGGGCCAGUUCCAAACACAGUAGGCCCACUUCCACCUCGUAGCCGGGCUUAGUCAGGUCAGUCGUCCAUUGUAGGAUUUUCUUCCACCUGGUCUUCGCACCUCUGAGACGGGGAGAUGCGGAGGCCGUCGGCUUCGUCGCCUCCGGCGAGGGGACCGGCGUUGGCUGCAGCAGCCGCUGUCGUUCUCCUCCCGGCUAUUUUCCCCGCGCUGUUCUCCCCGCUCGGCCGCGCCUUCCCUUCCCUAUUCUCGGUGCGUCCCCUAUAGUCGCCAUCCUCCUCUCCAGGCGGCUCGAUUUGAGCCGGUGUAGCGUCAUAUUGGCGAUCUUCCGCUUCUCUAGCUGCUUCCUACGCCUCUCCUUGCUAGUUCGCCACUUUGCCGAGUCCGAUUGUUUGGGGUGGGCGAAAAUUGGAUAUAAUCUAGAGGGAUUGGUACUUUUGGGGGGAGGAAUGUAUGUGGAAGGUGAAAUGAUGUGGUGAAUUCGUGGCUUUGUCCCCUCUUGAAUUGGAACUAGUACGAAAUUACAUUUGUUUAUUUGGUGUAUAUGUAUGUCGAUGCAGAGUAACCUGUAAAUAAGCAAAGUGUGCAACCUGUAAAUAAGCGAAGUUUGCAAGAUCUGGAUUCUUUUGAUGGACAGCAUCAUGCCAGUUGCAUCGGAUAUUUUGGUUUGGACAGUGGUCUCCAAUGUGUGAUUACGAGUAGAUUUUUUUGUAUGCAUUUCGGGGCAGUGUGGGACGCUGGGACUGUACUCGGCUACCAUGAGCCAUGACAGUAUUGGGAAUAACAUGUGUACUGGAUUACUCUACUAUGGCUGUGAAGAUAGAUUGGCUACUGAUGUGGACCUUAGUAAAUAUUUCUGCAGACUGCAAUAUUGUCUUUUUAAGAUUAAUCAUGUGGACAGCGUGUAUACUGCAGGAGUGGAAUGCCCCUAAGCCAAUGCACGAGUCUCUUUUCAAUGAGUCUUUGCGAUGGACAAUAGUGAGUAUUCACAACUCAGAUAAAUACUGGAAAUAGUUAUGUUGAAGUCUAUUUGUAACUUACUCUCUGUACAGCCAGAUGAACAAAAAAGAGAUCUCUGGACACCCUUGCCUGAUCAGGGGUGGAAACCAUGCAUAAGGUCAUCGAUCACUCGUGGUAACAUUCUGUGAUAAAUCUGUUUAGGUAAUGAUAUGCCUCCCGCUGCGAUAGAUCACUAAGCAUUUGGUUAUAUGAAGUGUAGGGUUACCUUCACAACCCAGUGGGUACAUACAAGUAUUUCUUGAUGGUGGCCUGAACCAGCAGAGAAUGGGGGUAACUCACUUCUUAUGUACCAAACUCAUGAUGUUAGAUUUAAUAUAACUUGCUUGGUUGAAACUUCAGAUCAUCUGGCUCUUUCUUUUUGUUCUCUAGAUAUGUGAUGCAGUUGCGGUUGCUAAGAUUUUGAACGCUACUCUUGUGAUCCCACAUCUUGAAGUAAACCCUGUUUGGAAAGACUCAAGGUGCUUUUGGAGUUUCAGAGUACUACUGUAUCUUGUUAAUUUUAAAUACUCCUGUUAGAUUGGAAGUGAAAGGUUUAGUUUGGUCUGCAGCUCAUUUGGAGAUAUUUUUAAUGUGGAUCACUUCAUCAACACCCUAAGAGGCGAUGUUUCAAUAGUGAGAGCUCCAUUAAAAGAAUUUUCGUGGAGCACAAGAGAGUUCUAUAGCACAGGAAUACGUGCUACAAGAAUAAAAACUGCACCUCUUCAUGCCUCGGCUAAUUGGUAUAUAGAGAAUGUCAGUCCUAUCCUGCAAAGGUUUGUGAUUUUCUUGGCCAUAUAGUCGCUUCUCUAGACCCCUUGAGUAAGUGGCAUAAUAAUGCUAAGAAACUGCAGUUCAUGUUUAGCCCAGGUUGAUGGCCACUGAACUGGCUUUAUAGUAUUAACAUGACAACUCGUUGUCUAACUUCAUUAGUUGGUUACUCUGUGAGGGGAAUCCUUCACCGAAAAUCUCAUGCAAGCGUUGUUUCCCUUGUCAGCUAUGGCAUUGCUGCCAUUGCCCCCUUUUCUCACCGCCUUGCAUUCGAUGAUUUGCCUGUGGAUAUUCAACGCCUGCGCUGUAAAGUUAACUUUGAAGCCCUGGUUUUUGUGCCUUACAUUAUAUCACUGGGGAGGACCCUUGAGAAGCGCUUGAGAUCUCCAGUGCAGGGGCAUUCCACUGAAUUAACCCAACAAGUUGUAGAAGAUUACACAGAUCAGUCUGAAAAGUAUGCAGUUGUACAUCUCCGCUUCGAUAAGGUAAAUGGAAGGGCUUCUGCUAUAUUUGGAAGUCGUACGUGUAUAUUUUUGUUAUCUUCAAGGAAUUUCCACUCUGAAACAACUCAAGCUGACCUACAUUUUUCAGGAUAUGGCUGCACAUUCUGCCUGUGACUUUGGCGGUGGUAGAGCUGAAAAAUUAGCUCUGGCUAAGUACAGGCAAGUUAUCUGGCAAGGGAGGGUAUUAAAUUCACAGUUAAGUGAUGAGGAGCUUCGAAACACAGGACGCUGCCCGUUGACUCCAGAAGAGAUUGGAUUGAUACUAGUAGCGCUUGGCUUUGACAGCAAAACUCGAUUUUAUCUUGCCUCUCACAAGGUUUGACUCUCUGCCUCUGCCGGUGCGCUUACUUAUUCUCCGUAGUGGAAGCAGAAAUUUCUAACAUACGUCACCUAUUAAGGUAUAUGGAGGGGAAGCUAGGAUCUCUAGCUUGCGCAAGCUUUUCCCGCUGAUGGUAGACAAGAGGAGCCUUGCAUCGGCAGAUGAGCUUGCUAGUAUCGAAGGGAAGGCUUCUGUGCUAGCAGCUCUUGACUACCAUAUCAGCAUGCACAGCGAUGUUUUCAUCUCUGCUUCUCCUGGCAAUAUGCAUAAUGCACUGGUAAAUCCUGUUUGGCUUCAGCUGUAUUCGCUAGAUUUCUCCUCUUUCUUUAUUGGUCCUGACCAGAUGAUGGUUGAUUCAGCUGGCCCACCGGACCUAUAGGAAUCUGAAGACGAUAAGGCCAAACAUGACAUUGCUUGGCCACAUAUUUGUGAACAAGAGCAUGGAGUGGUCAGAGUUUCAGCAGGCUGUGCAGGCAGGCCACAAAGGUAGAUACGGGCAGAUCCGGCUGAGGAAGCCGAAGCAGUCUAUCUAUACUUAUCCUGCCCCAGAUUGUAUGUGCCCAGGGUAGAUCGCCAAGUUUUCUGCGGUGCACCGACAAAAGAAAUGUGCUGAGUUACUUGCAGUUUCUAAUUAGGUUAAGCUCAUGUGGAUAUGUAUAUUUAGUUCUGAAUUUUCGGUUGAAUCAGUUUGCUGCCACUUCCAAUAGGAUCUUAAAAUUUUAACCAAAAUUUACGCACUAUACGUUGAGCCUUGAAGGACUCUAAUCUUGUGCUGUUUGCACGAUCCAUACGACGAAGUUGUAGUUUUGGAGCUGAUGUUGUGUAUCUGUGACCUGACUUGAUAUACUGGAUCCUUUUUCUUCUUUUAUUCCGCUGUUCUACUUCUGGGAGUCCGGUGUUCUGAAUUUCUGCUUUGAUUUAGUAUUACUAUCGUCAUGGCGAAUUCGAUACUAAUGCUUCAAACUAGUAGUAUGUUUUGCCAUGUUUUAAAAUAACACGCAUGGGUGAUAUUACAAGUACAGCCUCCGUCGGAAGCCAUGGGCGAAUCCACAAGGACAAAGUUUCACCACCGGAACUUUAAGAUUACAACACGUUUUUGCACUGCCACCUACUCCUCCACACUUUGUACAUCCUCAGCACCCCAAAAUAAUAAUUCAGACCACCUGAAACCUCCUUGGUCGGUGAAAUCGACGGAUUUAUUGGCCGGAGAUGGUCUGGAUGAUGGUGUUGUGCCAUGGGUCGGCCAGGUGCUGCUGCAGGUUCUCGAACGGCCCCUUCCCGGUCACGUUGUGCUGCACCAGGAACCCCAGGAACGCCAGCAUGGCCAGUCUCCCUGAACGAAUGAACGCGCGCGCGAAUACAGAUUAACGAGAGCCGUCGGAUUAGAAACCCGAGGGUUCAGAUGAGACUGAAGAGAGGAUGGACGUACCGUUGGCGAGCUCCUUCUCCUUGUUCUCGAGGGUGGGGGCGAAGUUGAGGGGGUUGAAGACGCUGCCGGGGUAGCCGCACUCGUGGGGCGGGAGGCUGUAGCUCUUGAAGAUGGGGUCCUGGUUGACGGAGCCCGGGUUCUUGAUGUCCUGCCACCGCCGGAUCUCGACGUAGUGGAAGAGGAUGAACUCGAUGACGAAGAGCGUGGAGGAGGAGGCGAAGUAGGUCUCCUUGCCGGCGUCGUACCACUCGGGCGCGUUCAGCAGCCCCGCCUUGGUCAGCACCUCCGGGAUCAGCAUCCCCGCCACCCCCAGCAUCGCCCACCGCCCGUUCACCAGCUCCGCCUGCACGAACCACCGCAGGUCCUCCGGGUCCUCCGCCAGCGCCAGCGGGUCAAAACCAUUGUCACCCGCCAGACUGCACACGUAUCGUCCGUCAGUACGGUCGUAAACAUAUGUAACAGCUGCGUGCAUGGGCACGACGGAAGUGGUGUGGCGUGUCGUGUGGUCUGCUCACCUGCCGUCGAGGUAGGCAGGGGACUGGAGGCCGGGGAGCCAGGACCCCUUGGCCUGGACGGCGACGUCGCGGCGGGUGGACUUGGCGAGCCCGACGCGGCCGGAGUCGCCCAGGAACCGGGGGCUCGACGCUGACGCCGCCGGCCGGAGAGCGGCCACGGGAGCGCGGGCACUGACCGACGACAUCUUCUGCUACUCCUGACUAGAGAGCGCGUACGGCAGGAGAGUGAGAGUGCGCGCGUGUGUGUGUGGUGGUUCUGCCUCUCCGCACCUGCGCUUGGCCCUUUGUAUUGGGCUGCGCUUCGGUGAUUUGUGGGUGUGGUGAGCUGGGCCCCGGAGGUCGAGAUGGACGGCGUGUGUUGGCGCCACCGCGUCGUCCGACGGCUGCGAUGCGUUUGCGCCUG